AACGCACGAGACCUGCGGACCUGCGGAAGGAUCAUUACCGAGUUUACAACUCCCAAACCCCUGUGAACAUACCACUUGUUGCCUCGGCGGAUCAGCCCGCUCCCGGUAAAACGGGACGGCCCGCCAGAGGACCCCUAAACUCUGUUUCUAUAUGUAACUUCUGAGUAAAACCAUAAAUAAAUCAAAACUUUUAGCAACGGAUCUCU
rnacentral:misc_RNA from 1 species